GAUUCUACAUUUUAUGGCGAGGGUGCAAUGGUUGACCUGCCUGACACCCUUGAACAAUUCAGGAUGAUCCUGACGGAGCUUUUGGUGGAUGUUUGUCAGCUUUUAGGUUCUGCAGCAUUUAUCCAGAAGAUCUUCCUUGGAGGUUGGACCAGUAACAAUGUACAUAUUCCUUGGAAGGAGGUGGAAGCUAAAAUGUUUGCACUUAAUGCGAGAUCAUUUUCAUUUUUCGAGGUCUAGCUGUUUUCAGCAAUCCUUUUUAAUGUGCUGCAUGAUUUGAUUAUACAAGAGCAGAUAGCUGAAGUUAUUAUCAUGGAGACCCAAGACAUUGAUUUCUCAUUUGUCAUGCAGUUGGUCACAAUUUUAUCUAGUACGCCACAGGAUGAUGCUAAGGGCUUCAUGAAACUUGUAUACAAAUCAGCUGCAGAGGUUGUUGCUUCCUAUUCAAAGUGGAUAUCUUGUCAAACUAAUACCAGAUCUUUGCUAUUAUUUCUUGCAAAGGGAAUCUCAGAACCCUUUUGUUCAGCAGCUUGUGCUAGUGCUCUGCUCAAGUUAUGUGAAGAUGCCGCUACCCCUAUGUAUGAACAUUCAAGUUUGGAGAUCUUACUUUGGGUUGGAGAGAGUUUGGAUGGAAGGCAUUUGCCUCUAGAGGAUGAAGAAAAAGUAGUCAGUGCGAUUACAUUGGUACUUGGUUCCCUUCCUAACAAGGAGCUGAAGAAUAAUUUGUUAGCUAGGUUGGUCUCACCUUGCUACGAAGCCAUUGGCAAACUAAUUGAUGAAAAUCAAAACCACUCUUUAAGGCAUAAUCCUGCUUCUUAUUCUCAGUUGACUAAUGCUGCAAGAAGAGGUUUACAUAGGUUGGGAACUGUAUUCAGCCAUCUGUCAACAGAGUCUUCUGCUGGUUCGGAUGUGGAUGAUCCUCUUGUAGCGCUGCUAGGAGUAUUCUGGCAAAUGUUAGAAAAACUUUUUCAGUCGAUGCACAUUGGAAAUGCUGUUCUAUCUAUGGCAGCAUGCAGAGCUCUUUCCCAAGCAAUUCAGUCAUCGGGUCAGCACUUCACGACCAUUUUGCCAGGAGUGCUAAAUUGUUUAUCGACUAACUUUGUAUCAUUCCAAAGCCAUGACUGCUACAUAAGAACAGCUUCUGUUCUCAUUGAGGAAUUUGGCAGUAGAGAAGAAUAUGGACAUCUUUUUGUCAGUAUCUUUGAAAGAUUUUCCAAGUCAGCAUCUAUUAUGGCUCUUACUUCCUCAUAUAUAUGUGAUCAAGAGCCUGAUCUGGUGGAGGCCUUUGCUAAUU
rnacentral:misc_RNA from 1 species